GCAGCUGGGCUCAGUUUAGAUGAUCCCAAUUUUGUUGGCAACAUCCAAAGCAUCGUAAUCAGGAGCCAGUCGAACAUAUGCCUUCUUCUCUCCAUCAGGUGGGUGACGUGCGGAUCUUCUUCUUUUUGUGGCUGUGGACACCUUUCAACACUGCCUUCUUGGCCUUUAAAGCCUUCGCUUUGGCUUCAGCUUUAGGAGGGGCAGGAGCUUCCUUCUUCGCUUUCGGCGCCAUCUUGUGAAAAGGGUCC
rnacentral:lncRNA from 1 species